rnacentral:tRNA from 3 species
GCGAUUAGCUCAGUUGGGAGAGCACCUGCCUUACAAGCAGGGGGUCACUGGUUCGAACCCGGUAUCGCCCACCA